rnacentral:rRNA from 1 species
UACGUAGGUGGCAAGCGUUGUUCGGAAUUAUUGGGCGUAAAGGGCGCGUAGGCGGUUUGCUAAGUCAGUUGUGAAAGCCCGGGGCUCAACCCCGGAGAGUCGGCUGAUACUGUCGGGCUCGAGUACGGAAGAGGCGAGUGGAAUUCCUGGUGUAGCGGUGAAAUGCGCAGAUAUCAGGAGGAACACCGGUGGCGAAGGCGGCGACCUGGACAGAUAUUGACGCUGAGGUGCGAAAGCGUGGGGAGCAAACAGG